CCUACGGGAGGCAGCAGUGAGGAAUAUUGGUCAAUGGGCGAGAGCCUGAACCAGCCAAGUCGCGUGAGGGAGUACUGCCCUAUGGGUUGUAAACCUCUUUUGUCGGGGAGCAAAAGCCGGACGUGUCCGGCUGUGAGAGUACCCGAAGAAAAAGCAUCGGCUAACUCCGUGCCAGCAGCCGCGGUAAUACGGAGGAUGCGAGCGUUAUCCGGAUUUAUUGGGUUUAAAGGGUGCGCAGGCGGAUUUUUAAGUCAGCGGUAAAAUCGUGGGGAUCAACCCCAUCCAGCCGUUGAAACUGGGGAUCUAGAGUGUGCGAGAGGUAUUCGGAAUGCGUGGUGUAGCGGUGAAAUGCAUAGAUAUCACGCAGAACCCCGAUUGCGAAGGCAGCAUACCGGUGCACAACUGACGCUCAGGCACGAAAGCGUGGGUAUCGAACAGGAUUAGAUACCCUUGUAGUC
rnacentral:rRNA from 1 species